GACGAACGCUGGCGGCGUGCUUAACACAUGCAAGUCGAACGGAAAGGCCCUGCUUUUGUGGGGUGCUCGAGUGGCGAACGGGUGAGUAACACGUGAGUAACCUGCCCUUGACUUUGGGAUAACUUCAGGAAACUGGGGCUAAUACCGGAUAGGAGCUCCUGCUGCAUGGUGGGGGUUGGAAAGUUUCGGCGGUUGGGGAUGGACUCGCGGCUUAUCAGCUUGUUGGUGGGGUAGUGGCUUACCAAGGCUUUGACGGGUAGCCGGCCUGAGAGGGUGACCGGCCACAUUGGGACUGGGAUACGGCCCAGACUCCUACGGGAGGCAGCAGUGGGGAAUAUUGCACAAUGGGCGGAAGCCUGAUGCAGCAGCGCCGCGUGCGGGAUGACGGCCUUCGGGUUGUAAACCGCUUUCGCCUGUGACGAAGCGUGAGUGACGGUAAUGGGUAAAGAAGCACCGGCUAACUACGUG
rnacentral:rRNA from 1 species